rnacentral:lncRNA from 1 species
UGGGCAGGCCAAGGUCCUGGAGCUGCCCUUUCUGCCUUCUCCUCUCCCCCUUCCCCCCAUACUCCCUUCCAUUCCUUCCCACUCCCUUCUUCUCACCUCCCUCUUUCCAGCCUCCUGCCUCCUGGUUCUCAGCCCCUCUGCUUCUCCUUUCCUCUGUCUCCCUCAAUUUUCUGUAUCUUCCCUUCCUUGCUUGUUUCCACUCUGUUCUUCACUUCCCCGCAUCCUGCCAGAUUUUAAACUCUGUUCAAAAAGCUUCUCCAAACCUCUUCUCCUUCCUGAGUUUGCCAGAUCCUCCCAGGCUCUCCUCCUUCACCCAGUCCCCUGCCCUAAAUCCACCUCUGCUCUUUCCUGGCACUGGAUGCCUACUUGGAGGAGGAGCCUUCUGGAGACACCGACCCUCGACCCCGAGUUGUGAGUCUGACUGUGGAAAUCCUUGGCCCCCAGGGCAGGCCCAUGCAGGGUUUGGAGGAUAAAUUUGGAAACGAAAAGGUUUUCUGGAGCCCCUCAAAUCACACAGCGCAGGAGGAGCAUCGGCACGAGAACUCAGUGAAACAGCGUGGCAGAAGGCUUUGCACAGCGCUUGGUGGAUAGAAAGGGCACCGUGCUUUCUAUUUCUGCCGUAACACUUGGCUUCAGAACGGUCUCAGCCAGCAGCUUGCAGCCCAGGCAUUGAGAGCUGAUCCCAGGCAAGUGCCCGGCAGGGUCUCACAUUGCAAGCUCUCAGGUGACAUCAGUGAGAGUAACUCAUGAUUUCUAAACGAGAACCAGAGGAGAAGAGACAGACACAGAGACACUCAGGGAGA